rnacentral:rRNA from 1 species
UCGAGAAUCUUCCGCAAUGGACGAAAGUCUGACGGAGCGACGCCGCGUGGUGGAUGAAGCCCUUAGGGGCGUAAACACCUUUUCUGGAGGAGGAAGUUUAUUGACGUUACUCCAGGAAUAAGGGGCUCCUAAACUCGUGCCAGCAGGAGCGGUAAUACGAGUGCCCCAAGCGUUACCCGGAUUUAUUGGGCGUAAAGGGUGUGUAGGCGGUUAUAUUAGUCUUACGUUAAAGCCUCGGGCUCAACCCGAGAUCUGCGUAGGAAACGGUAUAACUAGAGGAUGUGAGGGGUCUAUGGAACUCAUGGUGUAGGGGUGAAAUCCGUUGAUAUCAUGGGGAACACCGAAAGCGAAGGCAGUAGACUGGCACAUUCCUGACGCUGAGACACGAAAGCGUGGGUAGCGAAUGGGAUUAGAUACCCCAGUAGUCCACGCCCUAAACGAUGAUUGUUGGUUUUUCGGAGUAUCGACCCUCUGAGAGACGAAGCUAACGCGUUAAACAAUCCGCCUGGGAAGUACGGCCGCAAGGCUA